rnacentral:rRNA from 1 species
CGGCCGCGGUAUCCUGACCGUGCAAAGGUAGCAUAAUCAUUUGUUCCUUAAUUAGGGACUUGUAUGAACGGCCCCACGAGGGUUUAACUGUCUCUUACUUUUAAUCAGUGAAAUUGACCUUCCCGUGAAGAGGCGGGAAUAUAAAAAUAAGACGAGAAGACCCUAUGGAGCUUAAAUUAAUAUGCUCUGAGCAAUAAAUUUUGGUUGGGGUGACCUCGGAGUAUAACAAAACCUCCGAACCAAGACUUACCCGUCAAGGUCAAUCACAUUGAUCAACGAAACAAGUUACCCUAGGGAUAACAGCGCAAUCCUAUUUAAGAGUCCAUAUCGACAAUAGGGUUUACGACCUCGAUGUUGGAUCAGGACACCCAAAUGGUGCAGCAGCU